rnacentral:rRNA from 1 species
AACGAACGCUGGCGGCAUGCCUAACACAUGCAAGUCGAACGAGACCUUCGGGUCUAGUGGCGCACGGGUGCGUAACGCGUGGGAACCUGCCCUUAGGUUCGGAAUAACUCCCCGAAAGGGGUGCAAAAACCGGAUAAUGUCUUGGGACCAAAGAUUUAUCGCCUUUGGAUGGGCCCGCGUUGGAUUAGCUAGUUGGUAGGGUAAAAGCCUACCAAGGCGACGAUCCAUAGCUGGUCUGAGAGGAUGAUCAGCCACACUGGGACUGAGACACGGCCCAGACUCCUACGGGAGGCAGCAGUGGGGAAUAUUGGACAAUGGGCGAAAGCCUGAUCCAGCAAUGCCGCGUGAGUGAUGAAGGCCUUAGGGUUGUAAAGCUCUUUUACCCGGGAUGAUAAUGACAGUACCGGGAGAAUAAGCUCCGGCUAACUCCGUG